rnacentral:lncRNA from 1 species
GGAAAUGACAACAGAUGCAAAGAGCACAAAAACAAUAUUUGAUAGGAAAAAUUCUCACUGUUCUUCAACAUAGUCACCAUCAGUUGCUGCGCAUUUUCACCAGUGAUGAACAAGAGCCUGCAUGCCACACUCAUAAAAAUCUGCACCAGUAGAGGGGACCCGCUGUGGCCACUGCUGAAUCGCAGCACCCAACACCUCACUGUGCUCACAUCCGCUGUUGGGUGUGUCUCCAUAAACAUUCAGCAAGCACUGAGGAAUGUCAAUGGGUGCCAUUUUUAAUGUGUGGAGGAAUUCAGUUCCACCCCUUUGCAUCACACACGUUUCCGCAUCAGGCAUCAUUGUGUCAUAGUACCCCUCUGCUGCCAUCUGUCACAUGGCAACAAAAAUGGAAUAUUGGUGGGAAGGUUCAGCCUCUACUGCCAUCCCACCAGUAUUCAUUGUGGGCCAAAAUAAUAAAAUAGGAGGCCUUACUUUCAGAGCAGCCCUUGUUCAUGAAGUUCUGAAACAGUAAUCAGCUUGAGUAUCGGUACCAUUUACACUCAUGACUGAUUUUGAAAAUGAGCACUCCCUAUUACAUGAGCCCUGUUACGUGGAUGAAACAUCUGUUGAGAAGGCUUCCUGCACGGGUAUCAACAUCAAAGACUCCUGGAGAGACUGGAAGGCUUGAACUCAAAGAAGAGGAGGACAGGAAUCAAAUUCCUGCUGAUGAGAUGUCUGCAGAUGUAAAUCGUGAUAUAACCACACCGAGAUGACAGCAUAAGAAUGUCCAAGCUCCUCCGAGGAGACAAGAUGACAGAAUGGAACAGACCUACUCAACUGUUAAUUCACUGACAUCGAACAUAGUUUGCCAAUUUUUUUCAGUUUUAAAUAAAAUACGUAUCGUUGAUCUAUAUAUAUAAUUG